rnacentral:rRNA from 1 species
UACGUAGGGGGCAAGCGUUGUCCGGAUUUAUUGGGCGUAAAGAGCGUGUAGGCGGCCAUGUAGGUCCGUUGUGAAAACUCGAGGCUCAACCUCGAGACGCCGAUGGAAACCAUGUGGCUAGAGUCCGGAAGAGGCGAGUGGAAUUCCUGGUGUAGCGGUGAAAUGCGCAGAUAUCAGGAGGAACACCAAUGGCGAAGGCAGCUCGCUGGGACGGUACUGACGCUGAGGCGCGAAAGCGUGGGGAGCAAACAGG